UAGGUGGCAUUCAAACUUCUGCUCAAUUGU
rnacentral:piRNA from 1 species